rnacentral:misc_RNA from 1 species
AGCAGCCGCGGUAAUUCCAGCUCCAAUAGCGUAUAUUAAAGUUGCUGCAGUUAAAAAGCUCGUAGUUGAAUUUCGGGACUAAUAUGUCGGUCGUGCCUCGGUACGUACUGGUUUAUUGGUUUCUCCUUUCUGAAGAACCAUGAUGUCAUUUAUUUGGUGUCGUGGGGAAUCAGGACUGUUACUUUGAAAAAAUUAGAGUGUUUAAAGCAGGCUCACGCUUGAAUACAUUAGCAUGGAAUAAUGAAAUAGGACGUUUGAUUCUAUUUUGUUGGUUUCUAGGAUCGACGUAAUGAUUAAUAGGGAUAGUUGGGGGCAUUAGUAUUCAAUUGUCAGAGGUGAAAUUCUUGGAUUUAUUGAAGACUAACUACUGCGAAAGCAUUUGCCAAGGAUGUUUUCAUUAAUCAAGAACGAAAGUUAGGGGAUCGAAGACGAUCAGAUACCGUCGUAGUCUUAACCAUAAACUAUGCC